rnacentral:rRNA from 1 species
AGUAACGCGUGAGGAACCUGCCUUUCAGUGGGGGACAACAGUUGGAAACGACUGCUAAUACCGCAUAACGUAUUUGUGUCGCAUGGCAUGGAUACCAAAGAUUUAUCGCUGAGAGAUGGCCUCGCGUCUGAUUAGCUAGUUGGUAGGGUAACGGCCUACCAAGGCGACGAUCAGUACGCCGGACUGAGAGGUUGGCCGGCCACAUUGGGACUGAGAUACGGCCCAGACUCCUACGGAAGGCAGCAG